AACCAACAGGGAUUGCCCUAGUAACGGCGAGUGAAGCGGCAACAGCUCAAAUUUGAAAUCUGGCUCUUUCAGAGUCCGAGUUGUAAUUUGCAGAGGGCGCUUUGGCUUUGGCAGCGGUCCAAGUUCCUUGGAACAGGACGUCACAGAGGGUGAGAAUCCCGUACGUGGUCGCUAGCUAUUGCCGUGUAAAGCCCCUUCGACGAGUCGAGUUGUUUGGGAAUGCAGCUCUAAAUGGGAGGUAAAUUUCUUCUAAAGCUAAAUAUUGGCCAGAGACCGAUAGCGCACAAGUAGAGUGAUCGAAAGAUGAAAAGCACUUUGGAAAGAGAGUCAAACAGCACGUGAAAUUGUUGAAAGGGAAGCGCUUGCAGCCAGACUUGCUUGCAGUUGCUCAUCCGGGCUUUUGCCCGGUGCACUCUUCUGCAGGCAGGCCAGCAUCAGUUUGGGCGGUGGGAUAAAGGUCUCUGUCACGUACCUCUCUUCGGGGAGGCCUUAUAGGGGAGGCGACAUACCACCAGCCUGGACUGAGGUCCGCGCAUCUGCUAGGAUGCUGGCGUAAUGGCUGUAAGCGGCCCGUCUUGAAACACGGACCAAGGAGUCUAACAUCUAUGCGAGUGUUUGGGUGUCAAGCCCGAGCGCGUAAUGAAAGUGAACGGAGGUGGGAACCCGCAAGGGCGCACCAUCGACCGAUCCUGAAGUUUACGGAAGGAUUUGAGUAAGAGCAUGGCUGUUGGGACCCGAAAGAUGGUGAACUAUGCUUGAAUAGGGUGAAGCCAGAGGAAACUCUGGUGGAGGCUCGCAGCGGUUCUGACGUGCAAAUCGAUCGUCAAAUUUGGGCAUAGGGGCGAAAGACUAAUCGAACU
rnacentral:rRNA from 1 species